GGCAGGAUGGCCAAGUGGUCUAAGGCGCUGGUUUUAGGCACCAGUCACUUCAGUUGCGUGGAAUCGAUUCCUACUCUUGUCA
rnacentral:tRNA from 1 species